CCUCACUGUACCCUGUUGCUAGGCUCCGUUACAGACCUUAAAUACUGUGUAUUUCACCUAACUUACACAAUUCUAAUUGUUCAGGAAUUUGUAUUUAUCGGAUUAAUGCCUGUUCUCCUCAAUACAACCUCUAUAAAUCUGUAAGCUACAGGGGGAAAAGGACUUGGCCCAUGUCUGUUCAGUACUAAAUCCUCAGAAUCUUGAUCACAUGAUCAUUUUCAGAUCAGAACAGUGAGGCUUGUCCCAAGUUCAUACAGCAAGCAGAGGGGAUUUGACUCUAAAACUUAACCCUUUUAUCUUUUCACUCUCCUUUCCUCUGGGACGGGAAAAGAUUUGGGACUCUGCCAUUCCUGGGCAUGUAGCUCUAGAAACCUCAUCUGCUUCUUCAAGCUUUUGGAAAUAAAUCUAAAGAGGCUGAUGGUUUUCCUGGCCUCAGAGGAAAGAGGAUAAGUUCUCUUUUUGCUUCUCUUCCAUUUACAUUUUUUUCUUUCUUUCUUUCCUUCCUCCCCAUCUCUCUUGCUCUCUUCUUUCCUUCCUUGCUUCUCUCCCUUCCUUCCAAAACGUGAAGUGUUCCUUCUCACUGCUAGACUCUGUCCUGGGAGCUGGCAAUAGCAAUAAAUCAUACAGCCUCUGUCCUCAAAGAGCACAAAAUCUAGUCCAACAGAGGUCUAGACUAAUAAAUAAAUUACAACCCAUUAUGGUUUCCUUCUCUGUAAAAUGGAUGCCAUUUUUAAUAUUCCAGUCAUUUUGGGAAACAUACAACUAAAACUGAUCCUGUGAUUGAACUUAUGAAGGAAUAACCAAUGAACUCUAGGAUCGAAAGGAAAGUAGGUGAACCAGGCUCAGGAAGCAAGAGGGUGGGCAGCUAACCAAGUCCAUGUUCCAGGAGCAAGGUGGAACAUGGACUUGGAGGACAGUGGACAAUGCCCCUAGCAUUGUCACUGUCACUAUUCCCACUGAGACCACUUCAGCUGUCUCAGUGUUUUUAAGACUGUCCCUCAAGAGUCAGAGUCGAGUGCUCAAAGAGUCAAAUACUCCAUUUGGGAGCAUCCUGUGAACCCAGCACAGACUACCUGACUAGACUCUUGCUACCUAGAAGCAGCAAGGAGAUAUAUCUGCUUGUUUUCCAAUGCUCAGACACCAUUGUCCUGUGGUUCUUGGGUGACAUCAAGGCCAAAGAACUUCUUGGGAGUUCACCUAUCCAUCAAGCCUCUGGACAGUGCAACUGGUAGGCAGCAGGCCUGAAACUUGACUAGUAGAUAGAACACAAAAGACAUCAUCAGUGCCUGUUUUCAGCAAAAGAAAAUUUAUUGAAAGUAUGUAGGUGGGGAUCAAGGAAUUUAUGAGUAGCUGAAGAAGUAAGUGGAGCAGAGAGGAACCAAAGGAGAGCUGAAAGGUCUAGCCCCAGGUUGUAGCUGCCACUACCACCAUGAGGAGCAAUGUUCAACAGGAUCUCCUAUCUAGGCUGAGUGUCUCAAAAUUCUCAGGACAGGGAGUCUGAUGGAAUCAACCUUCAUCAUGGGCCAGUACUGCAGGGCAAGAAGAAUAUGGUUUCUUGGGCUGGGGAUGUGGCUCAAGCAGUAGUGCGCUCGCCUGGCAUGCGUGCAGCCCGGGUUCAAUCCUCAGCACCACAUACAAACAAAGAUGUUGUGUCCGCCAAAAACUAAAAAAUAAAUAUUGAAAAAUUCUCUCUCUCUCUCUCUCUCUCUUUCUCUCUUUUAAAAAAAAAGAAUAUGGUUUCUUUAGUGAAUGGGCCAUCUUGAUGUACUUGAUAAAACUAUUGUUGGG
rnacentral:lncRNA from 1 species